rnacentral:rRNA from 1 species
CGCUGGCGGCGUGCCUAGCACAUGCAAGUCGAGCGGGGACAUACGACGGAGUCAAAGUUUCGGAUGGAGACGAAGAUGUAUGUUCUAGCGGCGGACGGGUGAGUAACGCGUGAGCAACCUGUCCCUUACAGGGGGAUAACACAGCGAAAGUUGUACUAAUACCGCAUGAGACCACGGGAGGACAUCCGUCCAGGGGUCAAAGGAGCAAUCCGGUAAGGGUGGGCUCGCGUCCGAUUAGAUAGUUGGUGAGGUAACGGCCCACCAAGUCGACGAUCGGUAGCCGACCUGAGAGGGUGAUCGGCCACAUUGGGACUGAGACACGGCCCAAACUCCUACGGGAGGCAGCAGUGGGGAAUAUUGGGCAAUGGGGGGAAACCCUGACCCAGCAACGCCGCGUGAGGGAAGGAGGUUUUCGGAUCGUAAACCUCUGUCCUUGGUGAAGAGGAAGAGACGGUAGCCAAGGAGGAAGCCCCGGCUAACUACGUGCCAGCAGCCGC